GAUGAACGCUGGCGGCGUGCCUAAUACAUGCAAGUCGAGCGAACAGACGAGGAGCUUUCUCCUCUGACGUUAGCGGCGGACGGGUGAGUAACACGUGGAUAACCUACCUAUAAAACUUGGAUAACUUCGGGAAACCGGAGCUAAUACCGGAUAAUAUAUUGAACCGCAUGGUUCAAUAGUGAAAGACGGUUUUGCUGUCACUUAUAGAUGGAUCCGCGCCGCAUUAGCUAGUUGGUAAGGUAACGGCUUACCAAGGCAACGAUGCGUAGCCGACCUGAGAGGGUGAUCGGCCACACUGGAACUGAGACACGGUCCAGACUCCUACGGGAGGCAGCAGUAGGGAAUCUUCCGCAAUGGGCGAAAGCCUGACGGAGCAACGCCGCGUGAGUGAUGAAGGUCUUCGGAUCGUAAAACUCUGUUAUUAGGGAAGAACAAAUGUGUAAGUAACUAUGCACGUCUUGACGGUACCUAAUCAGAAAGCCACGGCUAACUACGUG
rnacentral:rRNA from 1 species